GUAAGAAUAAGGAUCGGCUAACUCCGUGCCAGCAGCCGCGGUAAUACGGAGGAUCCAAGCGUUAUCCGGAAUCAUUGGGUUUAAAGGGUCCGUAGGCGGUUUAAUAAGUCAGUGGUGAAAGCCCAUCGCUCAACGGUGGAACGGCCAUUGAUACUGUCUGACUUGAAUUAUUAGGAAGUAACUAGAAUAUGUAGUGUAGCGGUGAAAUGCUUAGAGAUUACAUGGAAUACCAAUUGCGAAGGCAGGUUACUACUAAUGGAUUGACGCUGAUGGACGAAAGCGUGGGUAGCGAACAGGAUUAGAUACCCCAGUAGUCC
rnacentral:rRNA from 1 species